GCUCUCUUUGGGAGCACACAUGUUAAAACUGGAAUGAUUCAGACAAGAUUACCAUGAAACCUGGACAGGAUUGACCCCAAGCAAAUUUGUGAAAUGUCUCCUGCUUUA
rnacentral:snRNA from 1 species